AGGCAGAAGCAGGAGGAGCAGAAGUUCAAGGCCAUCCUUGGCUACAUAGUGAGUCUAAGGCCAGACUGGGACACCUGAGACCCUAUUAAAAAGGGUUGGGGGACCAGGAUGGUCUACCAUUAGCACGCAGAUGUGGCAGUGGGAGACAUUCUAGACCAGCAGCAGGCAGGGCAGGGCCCCAUACCUGUUCAACCUUGUCCUUUGAGAAACCAGGAAAUACAAGUUCACUGUUACCUGUGGCUCCGGUAAAAGACUGAGUGUGUGACUGAAUUAUGAACUGGACCUGUAGUACACAGCAGGGAGAAUCUCGGGGAAGCCCUUGUCAAGCCGCAGAGCCAGAGAGGAGGAAGCUGGUCGGAAGGAGUGGGGCUCUGGAUGUCAUGUGCAAACCACCAGGAGAGCUUUUCAAUUGCCUCUCACCAAACCCUCAUUACUGUUGGCAGAAAGGACCCUGGACCAGCUGGAAGAAUGGCAGCUGGAAGAAUGGCAGCUGGAAGAAUGGCAGCGGGAAGAAUGGCAGAUGUCACACUGUGGCCAAGGCUAACCUGGAAGUCACUCUGGGGAGCUUUUGGAAUUCAUGGCAAUCCUUCUGCAUCAGCCUCCUGAAUGCUGGGCCCAAGUCACCACACACUGUUUAAAUAUUGUUAUUAUUUGCCUUGAUGUAAUUUUCUCUGGCAAAUAUAGAACCUCCCAGAAGCAAGAGAGUGGAAGACUGUCUAACCGCUGAAGCUACUGUGUGUGGGCAUCCCUGAGUGGCCUCCUCAGCACCCACUUUUUUCUUCCCUUUUGGGGGAAGAUGUGUGGGCAGGAGCCACCCAUCUCCGUGGGUGGCUUACACAGUCACUGCAGUGACUGGUUUAGGAAGCAUGAUAGAGGUCAGGCUAGAAGACUCCUCAAGUCCAAACUUGUAUUUUUUUUUUAAGCCAAUAGGUU